AGAGCACCUAUUAUGGGAUACACGUUUUUAAACAUCCUUUUGUGUGUAAGUGUGCAUUAGUACAUGCUAACGAUAUUCAAAAAGUACAUACCUCAAAGAAAACGAUGACGCGAGUUAUCGUCUCUAACGUUCGAGGACUACAAAAAACACUCGGAUUGUAGGCAACAGUUUACUUCCUGGGAUUAGUGACGUAGAUAAGACCAACAUUAUCAUAGUUCAGCCCUCUCUGCUUUGCUUGGGUACGCCCUCAAAGACGAGGGUGGGGAGCGCCGAGUCAGAAGAGAGCUAAAAUGGCGGAGGUUGUGAGUCCCUGCUUUGACUGUUUGCAAACUCUUGUUUCAUUGUUUAAGCGAUUAAAUCUCUCGAGUAGACGCUGUCUCUUUAGAUGCGAGGGAAAAAUAGCACUUUAUGGACUUCCACAGAGGACAUCAUGUUUAAUACGGUUCCGGAAAAAUCCAGUCAGAAGUUGUUCACGGAGUUUUCACAAUAACUGCUUCUCAUGAACCGAAGCUGGAUUUGCGCGACGUCUCCUCUUGAAAGUUGGAUUACUGUGCACUUCUGGAUCACAGGCUAUUCGCAGCUGUACACAUCCUUCUACACUGUAUGCAAACAUGCAACAUCAUAACACACAGUACAAGGAGUCAGACUGGCAUAUGAGGAGCAAAGGAACCCAGGCAGUAGCAUCGUUUCACAAUGUUUCCAUCACCAUCAUCAGUGGAUGCCUUUGCCGUCCGUAGCCUGAGAUUUCAGAUUUGCAGCAAAAUUUUUUUGAUUUUCUCAUUUAUUGGAAUGCUGUGCAGGUAUUUGUACCUUGCAGCCAUCCAUUACAAUGUCACCAAGCCGUAACAAAAGCAGGAGAGGGAAAGUACAAGGCUAUGUUCCCAAAACACACAAGUGACAUACCUUAUGUGGAGGAUGUGAUCAGGCUUGUGUUUGAUGAGGUAUUUGAAGAUAAGCUGAAGGAAGCCCUGAUUCCAAUGGACCUGGCAUCACAGUUUGAGAGACCUUCAAAGGAGGACGUGAUUGCAUGCCAUCUUCAGUGCAG